rnacentral:rRNA from 1 species
AUGGCUUCGAAGCCCACGGAUAAUGCUGUAACCAGCAGCGAGGAGAAGAGAUCCAGCAGCAGCGGGCCGACGUUUGUGCUGACCGAUGCUGCACGAGCGAAGUGGCAGGCUCAAGAGAAGAUGAGACGGGAGUAUCUUGCCGAGCUACAGUGCCUCAGGGAACAAGAACCCGAUCCAGAGGUCACUCCGUUCAAUCCGAGGCCAUUCGGUGCCACCGGCCCGGAGAUCCUACCUGAUCCUAUCAGAGACAGCGUCGUCUCCAUUGGUCUGUUCCAUGGAGAGAUGAUGAUCUUCGCGUGCUCCGGAACAGCCGUACAAUGCCGCAACGGAUUGAUACGAGAUUGCCACAGCGUAUUCGUGACUACGGUGAAUCUGGCGCUGGAGUUUGAGAGCAAGAGGAAAAGGGACGAUAACUUCAGCGUCAGACCUUCAACUGAAGCUACGUCUACCAUGUGGAAACAUCUGUGCCUGUCGAUCUGCUCCAGGGCACGGGCACGGGAUGAUCUCACCGACGUUUGUCCACUAGAUGUCUUCGAGGUCACAACGCCGUCUAAAUCUAAGGAGGUAGCUGCUAUCGGGCGUAUGACUAGAGAAAUGAAUGGGUUAUUGAUGGCCUCAAGGGGUAACUUGAAGUACAGAAGGAAAUGUGCCAAAAGAAAGAGGUCUCACAGAAAAAAGAACAGGGGUUUGAUACUUGGUUGCAAAGACCUCAGGCCGUCCUCUUGUCGAAUUCAGAAGGUUGGCAUUGGAGGGCCCCUUAUUCGCAUUGAAGAUGGGAGUUUCAUCGGCAUGAACUUCUACGAUGAAAGUGGGACAACUCCUUAUCUGCCAAGGAGCAAUAUUGCAGAAGUUUUGAGGAGAGGAUUUACUCUUCUGGACAUGGGAUUUGACAAAGGUCCCAUUAUCCUGGACAGGGACGAAAAGGGGAAUGCUGCGAAGAGAAACCGGUGGUCUGUGCCCGAGCCAUAUUGGUGUCUUGACAGUUAUGGUGAUGUUCUAGACCAGCUUCGUGGAAGAGUUCUCAUGUAA